rnacentral:lncRNA from 1 species
UCCCUAUUUAUUGUUGAUAUCCACUUUAUUGGUGAUGAUUAUUUUAUUAUGAAGUCAAGAUUUAUUCUUAAUUAUAUAUAUUUGUAUAGCCUCUAGUUGAUUUAGAGAAGAUUUGCAGUAAUCUUAUUAUUUUAUGUAGUAAAAAAUUCAUAAUACAAAUCUGGUAUCCUUGUGCUUGUUUUGAUUUAUAUUCACUGAAUUUGAUAUUAUUGAG